GUCUACGGCCAUACCACCCUGAACGCGCCCGAUCUCGUUUGAUCUCGGAAGCUAAGCAGGGUCGGGCCUGGUUAGUACUUGGAUGGGAAUUAGAAUCAAAGAAACCUUUUUCC
rnacentral:rRNA from 1 species